rnacentral:rRNA from 1 species
CAGCCGCCGCGGUAAUACGUAGGUGGCAAGCGUUGUCCGGAAUUAUUGGGCGUAAAGCGCGCGCAGGCGGAUAGGUCAGUCUGUCCUAAAAGUUCGGGGCUUAACCCCGUAAUGGGAUGGAAACUGCCAAUCUAGAGUAUCGGAGAGGAAAGUGGAAUUCCUAGUGUAGCGGUGAAAUGCGUAGAUAUUAGGAAGAACACCAGUGGCGAAGGCGACUUUCUGGACGAAAACUGACGCUGAGGCGCGAAAGCCUGGGGAGCGAACGGGAUUAGAUACCCGCGUAGUCCCUGUCUCUUAUACA